GGGGCCGUAGCUUAGUUGGUAGAGCGUAUCGUUCGCAAUGAUAAGGUCGUCGGUUCGAUCCCGAUCGGCUCCACCA
rnacentral:tRNA from 1 species